GACGGACGAACCUCUGGUGUGCCAGUUGUCCCGCCAGGGGCACCGCUGGUUAGCUACGUUCGGAAGGGAUAACCGCUGAAAGCAUCUAAGCGGGAAGCUCGUUCCAAGAUGAGGUCUCCCACCCUUUUGAGGGGUAAGGCCCCCAGCCAGACCACUGGGUUGAUAGGCCGGAAGUGGAAGCACCGCAAGGUGUGCAGCUGACCGGUACUAAUAGGCCGAGGACUUACCACA
rnacentral:rRNA from 1 species